GUGGAAUCGGAGCUGUACAUAACCAUGACACAAUACUUUGUCAAAAAGAGAAAAAAGUUAAUCAGGUUUCAGGCCACACAAAAUCUGGAUCCACCCUUACUUUCAGCAAUCCUGGUAAUAAAAAUUAUUCAUCACUCAAAACCAAGAUCAAAUGUUACUUCCUUUAUAAACUAUUUUCUGAAUCCCUAAUCAGGCUCCCACUGACUUUUGGAAAAGGAAAUUUAAAGGCAUCUACAGAACAUGUGCGGCACCUUGACCAACACCUGGCCAGGAAUGGCAAACUUUCCUAAGAAAAGCAACUUUUAUAGAAAAGGCUCGAUUCCAUACCCUUUAGCUUUCUGUAGAGGAGACUCCCUUGAAACAAAAUCAAAGAGGAUACAGGGGCAAAGGAAAAACAACCUAUCCAUCUCCCCAAAGGAGGAAGGUAUUCAUACUAGAUGGCAAAAGGCCUAUCCACUUGGACAUGGGCAGGGACUCCAACGCUACCUGAAAUAUAGAUAGUGGUUUUCUCAAAGAGGAGCUUUUAAAUCUUCUCAAGCACUUGCACCAUCAGUUGGCAGAGGUCCUGGGUUCUGAACAAUAUACAUGAAGGAACUCGUUUUAGCAUGAAACAAUUUUAAAGGCAUUUGUUACCAACAGACGGUCUUGUCUGAGAAGGAACUACAUCCUGAUAAACUAGACAGAAUGAAAUUAAUUGUAAAAGGCAUUCCCUUAUAGUUGAAAGA